rnacentral:antisense_RNA from 1 species
AUAGAGCAACAAUCUCUAUGCAGUUUUAAGUGAGCCCCGGUAAUCUUCUCCAGUCGCCAAACUUAGUGAGGAUUAUCGGGGUUUUUGCUU